UGGACUGAUGAAUUAUUAACAAAAAAGUGUUUGUCCGCGUUCACGUUCACGGGAACUCUAAACCUACCUUAAGAUGUUGCUUCCAAUUCGCGUUGACGGCGGAAUGGUGUCGACAUCUGGAUACGAUAUUAGUUUGUAUCAGACACAAUUCUAACUAUUCUCAAUAAGAUUAGUCGGCCCUAGGGCAAUUUUGAAGUGCUAAAAUUUGUAUGAAUUUUUUUUUUCUUUGCGUUAUUUGUCUGCAAAAGUACGAAAAGUAAGUUUUCUCGGUGAGUCAAUGAUAGCCUAGUUUGAAGAAUCCCCUUACAAUUGUGUAGUUCAGAACCUUAAUGAAAUGGACUCAGUUUGAUGUAAUGAUUGCAAUGCCAGAGACAUCGGCGCGUAAGUAAUUUUGUCGCGUCCACAGCUCAACCCGAAACAAAGACAUGUGAUGACGAAAUUCAAGGAAGAACAAGCGAUUUCAAUUGUUUCGUAACUAGAACUGAAAGUUAGCCUUAGCAAGAUCCAAUAUUUAUGCUCUAGGCAAACAUUCCUCUCUUUGGGCCCUAUUAUAGAAAUCGAGGCGAUAAGAAUUUUGCUCGUUAGCUCUAUUUUACUAUUAUAGAAAUCGAGCAAUUCGAUAGCACCAAGCGAGUGAUAGCUAUCGAUGCAAGUGUCAGCAAUUUUCGAGUUGUUUGGUUCGCUUUUUGCAUAUCUUCAGAGAAUUAUGUUGUUUUGGUUUGCGUCCCUGAUUCUUUCCUUUAGGAAACAUUUCAGAAACGCCUAAAUAUAUGCAAUUUUCAACACAUGUUCAUUUGUUUUGAUCAGUAUUUGUAUUACGGUGCUGCCAGAAUAGUCUAUACAAGCGCAUAUUUCAGUGGCUGAAAAUGAGUGGACAAACAAAUCACCACCAGUACGACUCGUUGAACCAAUGAAAGCGAAUGUAAACAUUGCUCGAGUUUUUUUGGAGGCAGUUCAAAUAGAAUCCCUGUUAAGGAAAAGUGGGAGGAAUUCAGUGAGGAGAUUGAUGCACUGAGACCAUCAAUGUGUCUUGGUUCAGAAUGGCAGAAAAUUUGGAUUGACAUGAGGUGAAAGGUAAAGAAAACACUAGCACACAACAAGCGAAAAUUUAGGGCCACAAGUGGUGGCCCAAUACAAUAAAGCUAUUGACGCCGCUACAACGAGAAAUCGACGCUAAAAGAAAAUUACAUGCAAAAAAAUUGUUUUGCUAGAAAAAGUGGAAUUCAUGCGUGACUCC